AAGGUGAUAUGAACCGUUAUAACCGGCGAUUUCCGAAUGGGGAAACCCAGUGUGACUCGUCACACUAUCAUUAACUGAAUCCAUAGGUUAAUGAGGCGAACCGGGGGAACUGAAACAUCUAAGUACCCCGAGGAAAAGAAAUCAACCGAGAUUCCCCCAGUAGCGGCGAGCGAACGGGGAGGAGCCCAGAGCCUGAAUCAGCAUGUGUGUUAGUGGAAGCGUCUGGAAAGGCGCGCGAUACAGGGUGACAGCCCCGUACACAAAAGCGCAUGUGCUGUGAGCUCGAUGAGUAGGGCGGGACACGUGGUAUCCUGUCUGAAUAUGGGGGGACCAUCCUCCAAGGCUAAAUACUCCUGACUGACCGAUAGUGAACCAGUACCGUGAGGGAAAGGCGAAAAGAACCCCGGCGAGGGGAGUGAAAAAGAACCUGAAACCGUGUACGUACAAGCAGUGGGAGCACAGGUUUACCUGUG
rnacentral:rRNA from 1 species